GGACACUGCAAUGUUGUUACGCCUUAGUGACUUUCUCAACUGAUGUAGCAGAAAAGAAACAGCCCCUAGGAAUGAGCCAGAGCUCCAUCCAGCAGAGAGAAACCAAAAGCAGUCUGCUCCGUUACUGUCUGUAUCUUCGCAGUCCCGUCAAGUCCACCACUGAUUUUGAUACUGCCUUCAUCUUUGACAGGUGGUCCAAACGUGGAUGCCUAAAGCUACAUCUGCCUGCCUAAACCCAGCAUUUCAAAAGCUAAGGAAUCAUGGGUGCCUUGUUUCUUUCAUUUGCAAUUUGAAGCACUUUCAAGACACCUUGCAGCUGAAAAUAAAGGCAAAGGGAGCAACUUGCCUCAAAGAGCAUCCUCCAAGCCAUUCACCUUCCUCACAGCUUUGGCUAUCCAUAGCCCUGCUGAGGACAAUGUAGUUUAUCAAUGCAGCACUGCAGGAUAACCUCAAACCACUGCCAGCCUGCUUGAAAAAACCUGCAAAACACAGCGAUCCAGCAGCUGCUACUUAGCCUGCUGAAUUCUACUGCUGCGACAUCCAAGUGCUGGCAGCAGGAGUGAUCAGCAUCCUGAGGCUAUUUCAGCAUGAGCGUUUGAAAACUAAGUCGCUGAAAUUUACUGUUCAUUAUUCCUCUGGAAAAAUUCAGGCUGACAUUGAAAGCCUUUUCAAAAGUCCUGAGGUCCUAGAAACUACCGUUACUUUUCAAAGUAGCUGCUGAGUGCUUGGUUGUUUUAGAACAACUGCAUUUCGAUCUGUGGCCUUAGCAGCCCGACUUGAUGGACUGACAGUUUUAUUACAGAAACUUUAAAUAUGGUAGGAACUUCAAACCGAGAAAAAUGGCUCCUUCUAAGUCUUAAGUUCAUGAAACUAUUCAUGACUUCGAAAGAAUGUUUGUGUUUGAAGCAUAAAUAAUGCGGUAGUAAUGACUUCAAAUAACAUGGAAAUGGGUGAAGAGGAGGGGCAAACAAAAUUUUUUUAUUUGAGGAUCUCAUCAUUCAUUCCUGCCUCCUUUUUCUUUCCUAUUUUCUGAAAGAUUCUUUGCAUCGAUGCUGAAGAGCAGCCAACCACCGACUGCUGCUCCUGUGGGUAACGGCUGCCUGGUGGCAACCCCACUUACGGCCAGAUCCUUCUAUCGCAUAUUCAUCUCAGAUCUCAUUCAAAAUGCCCCCAAAAGAGCCAGAGGGUGAAUUAGCAAACAGGUGGCAUAGACAAUAGCGGUCCAGAGCUCUACUGCACUUCUUGGACCUCUUGAGGAGUGGAGGCACCUCUAACUGCCGCAGAGCCCAGCCAGCCCCCGUCCUUCCCAUACCUAGGCAAGGGAACCCAUGGUGGCCAUCACCUCCACGUUUGAAGGCUGCUGCCCUCACCUGGUAGGCAGAAAUGAAGGACACGGGAGCUCUAUGGGACAGGUCUUUCCUGACCGCUGCAUUUGAUAUACCUCGAGACAGGAGUAUGGCAGAGGAAGGACGCUGUGACUGUAGAGCAUGGGCAGACCCACCUUUUGGUAGCACACAGCUUUUCCACCAGAAAAGAUUUUAUUCCUCCUGGGUGGUGUAAAGGUGGGGCUGUAGCAGCUCCAGUCUAAUGAAGGUAGGGAAGUAGCCUUUAUUAUCUGGGUGAGGGAGUUUUAAGCCCAGGAGUACACUGGGGUCCCCAGAUGAUGCAAAAUGUGAUUUUGCAUUCUUCCCAGAACUACAGAAAGCGCUUUCCUGGAAAGCAAGAAAGAAGCAGAGAAGCAGCAGGGUCACAGUUACUGUUCUGGCUGCUCUUGUAGCGUCCGCGUGCACUGCCUCUCACUGCUUUUCUAGCAAACCCAGUGGCUUAAUUUAGCCUUUAAAGACCAAUUCCUUCACCUGAUUUAGAAAGAAGAAAUCACUGUCUCCAGGAACAGCAGCACCAUGGGCUAAAUACAGCUCAAGUACAAUUCUACUGACGCCAGUGGCAGGAAUAUGGCUCAGCAUGUCAUCUCUUGGCUUGGCCUGCAGAAUCAGCGUGGUGACCAUUACGAAUUUGCUAUCUUGAUGUAAUCCUUGGUACCUCUGUAAGAAAGACUGCAACAUCUUUCCCUGGAGAAAAAUAUACAGAUUUGUAUAAACUGGAGGAUAUUAUUGUGCGUAUUAAAAUGUUCGCAGGGUAUUAUCCCACAGCCCAUCCCAUAUUUAUUUUGGAAACAAUUACAUCUGGAAAAUGGGAAAACUUCCAGACAAGUCCUUUACCUUGAAAUAUCAGCAAACACAAGGGUAUUUUGAGAUUAUUCCCUGCUAAGAAAUGGAAAAGUAACAUUCAUGAAUGUAAGCCAGAAGAGAAUCCCUCUACAAAUAAUGCAAAAUGGGUUAUGUUUCGAAGUGUAAGUAGUUUGGGAGACAAGGGUAAAAAGUAGUUCUUAAAGGGUCCUUCUCUCCUUGGAGGAAAGUCAACGCAGCUCAGUUAAUGGUCAUUUGUUCCCAUUCAAUACAGCCAUUUCAUGCAUUAGUGAUAUACAAGAUUAUGUACUGUACCUACCAUUUGUCCCAGAUUUUGAGAAGAAAUGGAGACUGGAGCAACAUCUCCAAGUUCCUAUGCGGUUUACCGAAGGAAGCAGAUGUCUGCGUGUACGCAUUGCCUCCACUGACCUGAGCAGAAGGAUGAAUCUAAUCCCUAGCUUUUUUAGCAGCAGAAUAUUUUUCAGUCUGGAUUUCAUAAACUUUAUGAUUGAGGCAUAAGACAAUUGCGCAGAUGGCAGGAGAACAAACUGAAGGACAAAAACAAUGAGAGUGGAAGAAUGGAGAAAGAAGGAAAUAUAAGUGAAUGCAAAAAAAUCCUUCUGCUGGAAUGAGCAGUUCUUAUCGGAUAGCAGAAGCUACUUCCAGACGUGAAGUUCAGGCACCAAAAACUGCAUGAGUAGAAGGGGAAGGCUGGAUCACCUGUCCCAAGGGAGAAAACAACUACAUGGCAAAAACCAGCACACAAAUUGGAAAGCAGCAUGAGGGAAUCGAGAGGGCAAAGCAUGAUGUUUCUUCCAAGUUAAAAUGUUUCCAGAUUGUUCUGAUACUUAAAAAUGUUUAGAAGGAAGAUCUUCCGAUCCCAAUGCAAUUGAAAGGCAAAGCCUCCUGCAAUGUGAAGUUGCCCAUUUGGCUUUUUUCCUCAGUUUCUUUUUGUCUGCCUGGUUUUGUUCUAAUACGUGAAACGCUCUGCCUUGGAUUCUUCCCAGCUAGAUCACCUCCUAACACCGAUACCUGCCACUGCAAAGGCGAGAGAAAAUCUUCAUACCUCCCACUACUCUCAUGGGCUGAGAUGAGACACGUGACCUACUUGCAGAUCCUAGAUUUAGCAGAUGCUGAAGAUCUCAGUGGAAAAUGUUCUCAGACUGAGGCCCACCAGAACCUGGAAAGACAGGCACUACUUCAUUCAGCAAUUGCUACCCAAGCCCUCUGGUUCCCUAAUGUAACCAGUUAUCAUAGGUAUAGGUGAACUGGAGGAUUGCAGUGCUGUCCAUCAGUUCAGGUCCCUUGUAAAGACUCAGUCUGGCCCUGGACAUGUGCUGAAAGCUGCAUUUUGUUAACCCACCUGCAAACGGGUACGUGAGCAACUGGAGCAGAGUCUAAAUACAGUGAGACGCUGCCACAUUGCUCCCUUCUGUGGCACAAGGCAUGGAGGCUGGGAUAUCGUAGCUGUCUUAGUCUAACGAGGCUCAUGUCUAUCCGACAUUUUCAGCAGCCUAAAUUUUUAUGCAGACACACUGAUACUGCUACAUCCAUAAGGACCACGGAGUAAGCUGAGCACUCUCAGCUUCCCCACCAUUUGUGCUGCUUAGCAAUUAGCUCACUCCCCGGCUUUGUUUUUGGGACUACUCUGAGUAACUGCCUCCGAGGCACCUAAAUAUUGAAAGGCAAGUCCUGAACAGCGUGUGCCACGUUACCUGGCUUUAUACCACAGGAUUCAUCACUGCUGUUUAAGUAAUGUUAUAGACACAGCCUGCUACUCCUAGUACGCAGCCUUGCUCACGUGGCAAGGAGUGCUCCCAAAACCCCCAGGUACUUACAGGGGGCAAAAAUAAAGGUCCUCGAUGCUUUUUUAA